rnacentral:lncRNA from 1 species
AAUUUCACGGGUGUCAUUCGGUUUAUCGAGAGAAAUGGUCGUGAAAGAAUAUCCAACGGCGGUCAAGUAUUGAGAGACGAUCGUGAAAGUUCUGGUAACGGAUCGUGAAAGACAUUUAAUCGAGAAGACAUAUGAAAGGUCAGUAAAUAUUCUAAUUUAAUUAAUUACACAGACACAUUUACGACAAAAUAAAACUGUCUGUCAAAAUGGUUCAACAUUAUGAUCAGUAUGU